UGGUUAAAAAGCUCGUAGUUGGAUCUCAACAGCCUUGAAGCGGUUAACUUUGUAGUUUUACUGCUUUAUAGGCUGUGCUUUUGCUGGAGGUUUAGGGGUGCUCUUGAUCGAGUGUCUCUGGAUGCCAGCAGGUUUACUUUGAAAAAAUUAGAGUGCUCAAAGCAGGCUAAAAUGCCUGAAUAUUCGUGCAUGGAAUAAUAGAAUAGGAUGUCGAUCCUAUUUUGUUGGUUUUCGGGACUCGACAUAGUGAUAAAUAGGGACAGUCGGGGGCAUUUGUAUUCAAACGACAGAGGUGAAAUUCUUGGACCGUUUGAAGACAAACUACUGCGAAAGCAUUUGCCAAGAAUGUUUUCAUUAAUCAAGAACGAAAGUUAGAGGUUCGAAGGCGAUUAGAUACCGCCCUAGUUCUAACCAUAAACGAUGCCAGCUAGCGAUCUGCCUGCGUUUUUACUGUAGACUGGGCAGGAAGCUUCCGGGAAACCAAAGCAUUUGGGUUCCAGGGGAAGUAUGGUUGCAA
rnacentral:rRNA from 1 species